rnacentral:rRNA from 1 species
CCUANGGGAGGCAGCAGUGGGGAAUUUUGGACAAUGGGCGCAAGCCUGAUCCAGCAAUGCCGCGUGAGUGAAGAAGGCCUUCGGGUUGUAAAGCUCUUUCAGUCGAGAAGAAAAGGUUGUGACUAAUAUUCAUAACUCAUGACGGUAUCGACAGAAGAAGCACCGGCUCACUACGUGCCAGCAGCCGCGGUAAUACGUAGGGUGCGAGCGUUAAUCGGAAUUACUGGGCGUAAAGGGUGCGCAGGCGGUUCUGUAAGUCAGAUGUGAAAUCCCCGGGCUUAACCUGGGAACUGCGUUUGAAACUACAGGACUAGAGUGUGGCAGAGGGGGGUGGAAUUCCAUGUGUAGCAGUGAAAUGCGUAGAGAUAUGGAAGAACAUCGAUGGCGAAGGCAGCCCCCUGGGUUAACACUGACGCUCAUGCACGAAAGCGUGGGGAGCAAACAGGAUUAGAUACCCUANUANUC